rnacentral:rRNA from 1 species
ACUCCUACGGGAGGCAGCAGUUAGGAAUAUUCGGCAAUGGGGGAAACCCUGACCGAGCGACACUGCGUGAAGGAGGAAGGCCUUAGGGUUGUAAACUUCUGAACGAGAGACGAUAAUGACGGUAUCUCGGUAAUAGCACCGGCUAACUCCGUGCCAGCAGCCGCGGUAAUACGGAGGGUGCGAGCGUUAUCCGGAAUCACUGGGCGUAAAGGGCGCGUAGGCGGUUAUGUAAGACAGGUGUGAAAUCCCCGAGCUCAACUUGGGAAUUGCACUUGUGACUGCAUAACUAGAGUGCGGCAGAGGGGGAUGGAAUUCCGCGUGUAGCAGUGAAAUGCGUAGAUAUGCGGAGGAACACCGAUGGCGAAGGCAAUCCCCUGGGCCUGCACUGACGCUCAUGCACGAAAGCGUGGGGAGCAAACAGGAUUAGAUACCCUGGUAGGUCAGU